GAAGGGUGCAAGCGUUACUCGGAAUUACUGGGCGUAAAGCGUGCGUAGGUGGUGGUUUAAGUCUGCUGUGAAAGCCCUGGGCUCAACCUGGGAAUUGCAGUGGAUACUGGGUCACUAGAGUGUGGUAGAGGGAUGCGGAAUUUCCGGUGUAGCAGUGAAAUGCGUAGAGAUCGGAAGGAACAUCCGUGGCGAAGGCGGCAUCCUGGGCCAACACUGACACUGAGGCACGAAAGCGUGGGGGGGAGCAAACAGGAUUAGAUACCCUGGUAGUCCACGCCCUAAACGAUGCGAACUGGAUGUUGGGUGCAACUUGGCACCCAGUAUCGAAGCUAACGCGUUAAGUUCGCCGCCCUGGGGAGUACGGUCGCAAGACUG
rnacentral:rRNA from 1 species